rnacentral:rRNA from 1 species
CACGUAGGGGGCGAGCGUUGUCCGGAUUUAUUGGGCGUAAAGAGCUCGUAGGCGGCUAAGUAAGUGAGGUGUGAAAACUCCAGGCUCAACCUGGAGACGCCACCUCAUACUGCUUUGGCUAGAGUCCGGUAGGGGAGCAUGGAAUUCCUGGUGUAGCGGUGAAAUGCGCAGAUAUCAGGAGGAACACCAGUGGCGAAGGCGGUGCUCUGGGCCGGUACUGACGCUGAGGAGCGAAAGCGUGGGGAGCAAACAGG